UACAGAGGUCUCAAGCGUUGUUCGGAUUCAUUGGGCGUAAAGGGUGCGUAGGCGGCGAGGUAAGUCAGAUGUGAAAUCCCGGAGCUUAACUCCGGAACUGCAUUUGAUACUGCUUCGCUUGAGGACUGGAGAGGAGAUCGGAAUUCACGGUGUAGCAGUGAAAUGCGUAGAUAUCGUGAGGAAGGCCAGUGGCGAAGGCGGAUCUCUGGACAGUUCCUGACGCUGAGGCACGAAGGCCAGGGGAGCAAACGGG
rnacentral:rRNA from 1 species